UACGGGGGGGGCAAGCGUUGUCCGGAAUUAUUGGGCGUAAAGAGCUCGUAGGCGGUUCGUCGAGUCGGCUGUGAAAUCCCGAGGCUCAACCUCGGGUCUGCAGUCGAUACGGGCGGACUGGAGUUCGGCAGGGGAGACUGGAAUUCCUGGUGUAGCGGUGAAAUGCGCAGAUAUCAGGAGGAACACCGGUGGCGAAGGCGGGUCUCUGGGCCGAUACUGACGCUGAGGAGCGAAAGCGUGGGGAGCGAACAGG
rnacentral:rRNA from 1 species